AACCAGGCCUUAUUAAGGCCAUAAAAGAGAUUUAGAGAAGAUUUAU
rfam:Picea glauca, whole genome shotgun sequence.